rnacentral:rRNA from 1 species
GGGGCCGGCGGUUUUAACGGGGGGCCCGUUUAGGUAACAUGAUAAGUCGGCCUUUAAUUGAGGUCUGGAAUGAAUAGGUUGACGUCGGAUAAACUGUCUCACAAAGUUAAAUCUAAAUUAAUUUUAAAGUGAAGAAGCUUUAAUAGUAAAAAAAGACGACAAGACCCUAUGAAGCUUUAUCGUAGAAAAAUAGUAUCUAUUAGGACUAUUUUUGAUGAUUUUGUUGGGAUAACAAAGCGGAAAUGUGCUGCUUAACUUAUUUAAACUAACUAGUUGUAUGUAAAUUUUUAGAGUAUGGUAAGCUACUCUAGGGAUAACAGCGCAAUUUUUUUAAAGAGCUCAAAUCAAUAAAAAAGUUUGCGACCUCGAUGUUGGCUUUAGGUCACUUAAAGGUGUAGAUGCUUUUAAGAGUGGGUCUGUUCGACCUUUAAUUCCUAACGUGAUCUGAGUUUCAGACCGG